UGCGCGCUGAACAGAGCCCGCGUUUCCUCAGAGCUGGAACUCCCGGCUCGGGGUCUCUUCCCUCCGCCGUCACGGAACUGCCCAGGAGCCCGAGGGGAGGGCGACCUCACUGAGGCUGCCAGCUCUGGAGGUGCCCCGGCGGCCGAAGCCGUGACAGUCGCGGGGACGGCGGGCCGGCAGGUGCACCGAGUGAACUGAGAAUGAUGCUGCUGCAGAGGAACUCCCUUCUCCUUGGGAAUCGGAGAGCAGUGGGGUCCAGAUGGGGCAUUUCGGCAUGAGGCUGGAGCCCAGAGAAGCAGAAGUCAGUAUCUCCUGCUGCUGGCCAUGGCCAUGUGACCCAGUUCUGGACAAUGAGAGCCUUGAGCUCCCAUUUCCCUUGACUGAUCAGCUGGAUCCUGUGAGGCAGAAAGUGGAGCAUCUUCUAUGCACUGCUUCUGUGCUAAUGUUAAGGAAGUUACAAGAAUAGAACCAUGAUUAUAUAUUCCUCAUAUUGAAAAAUGCUUUAAGUGCCCAGAAAAAAUGAGUGAUUAAGGAACUAAGAAUCACAUUAUCUGCCAUCUGCAAACUGGAGACCCAGGAAAGCCAGUGGUGUAAUUCCAGUCCCUGUCCAAAGGCCUGAGAACCAGUAUAACUGAUGGUGUGAAGCCCAGUCCAAGGGCAGGAGGAGACUGACGUCCCAACUCAAGCAGGCAGGUGGCAAGAAAAAACAAGAUUCCAGCCAAAGGAAGCAAGAAUAUACAAUGGAGAAAAGACAGUCUCUUCAGUUCUUCACUCCUGCCUAAGAAUUAAGUUGACAUGACACAGAUUAACAGAAGAAAAUUAAACAAAAGUUUAAUAACAUCUAUAUAAAAGGGAGAGA